AGAAAGGUUAGUCUAAUCAAGACAGUUGAUUUCGACUCAACAGACCAUAGCUAGACCCUAUGACUUUCUU
rnacentral:tRNA from 1 species